rnacentral:lncRNA from 1 species
CGGGGGUGGGCUCAGGAUCCGGGCAUUCUGUGGGUCAAAUAUUGAUCGGGGCAUGUCAGGGAGGUUUGAGAUCAUCCUAGUGUGGUCCGUUUAAAUUUUGUGGCCAUUAGAAUGGACAAACGGGUGAAAUGGCGCAAACGGGGUAUUUUUGGGCUAAAUUAGUGUGCUAUAGCCCACGGUUUCGGGGGUAGGUCGGUGUACGGGCG